rnacentral:rRNA from 1 species
GCGAAGAACCUUACCUACUCUUGACAUCCAGAGAAUCCURCGGAGACGUGGGAGUGCCUUCGGGAACUCUGAGACAGGUGCUGCAUGGCUGUCGUCAGCUCGUGUUGUGAAAUGUUGGGUUAAGUCCCGCAACGAGCGCAACCCUUAUCCUUGUUUGCCAGCACUUCGGGUGGGAACUCCAGGGAGACUGCCGGUGAUAAACCGGAGGAAGGUGGGGACGACGUCAAGUCAUCAUGGCCCUUACGAGUAGGGCUACACACGUGCUACAAUGGCGCAUACAGAGGGCGGCCAACUUGCGAAAGUGAGCGAAUCCCAAAAAGURCRUCGUAGUCCGGAUUGGAGUCUGCAACUCGACUCCAUGAAGUCGGAAUCG